GCGGUGAGGAACUUGACUGCUUCAUCAUAGAGAUGUUGAAGAUUUAUUGUGCUUACAGUAUAAGUUGCCUACAAUAUUGUUGGAUUCCUUUCUCACAUCAAAAUAUAGGUAAACUACUGGUCUUCAUAAUCGACUGCAAGAGAAGAAAAGCUUAAUUACCUGAAAAAUAUAUCAGAGUGAAGGCACUUAUUCCAGGUUUCGCAUAUUCUAUCAUUGCAGCCUUAGUUCCAUGGUUCCACCCAACCUGGCGACAUUUGCACCACUCGCAGGUACACAAACUUCUCUCUUCUUUCAUGAUAUCGAAUGUUGGAUUAGUCCUGGUCCUGCUGAAUCAUAUUUUUCAUUGGAAAAUUUGGGCAUGAGAAGGAAAAAAAAUAUUUGCACCAGCUCUGG